CGUAUUCGAUCCGUUUUCAUCCCUAGGAACUGCAUCGUUAUUUUCCUUGUCUCUAUGAUCCAUGGUUGCAAAAUUACUGAAAACCCUCAUCCAACGCCCUUGAUGACGCUACAUGACACAUUAAGUAAUUCUUCCCGGUACAUACAAAUCUAUACUAUACUGUGUCCGUAAUAACGCUACGGCAUCAUAAAAAAAUAAAUGUAGAUUCUACGUGUAAAAAACAUCAGUCAUAAAGGCAAACACUUUCACAUUUUGUUCCCCAUUAGUAAAUAAGAAAUUGAAAUAGGCAACAAGUUAUGUCUAAAAACAUGUAACUGAACCUAGGUAACGCUACUGUAAUACAAAAAAGAACUCAUCACAGCCCAAGUGGUAUGAAAUGAUCUCUGUAGUCUUAGUUCUACAAGUCAGUGUCUCUUCGUCCGAUAGUUCUAUUGUAGUAAAAAAAAAAGAUCUCUUCAAGUUUUGGAUAGCUAUCUCUCCAUCUUUUUCGGCCAACUUCAAGGCGUGUUAACUUAACUUACUCUGAACUGACAUAGAUUUCGCUUUUAAGCCCUAACUAUUCAUACCUCAAAAUAUGAAAUAGAAAAAAAAAU
rnacentral:lncRNA from 1 species